rnacentral:rRNA from 1 species
CAUGAUCUCUACGGAGAAAAGCAGGGGAUCGCAAGACCUUGCGCUCUUGGAGCGGCCGAUGUCUGAUUAGCUAGUUGGUGAGGUAAAGGCUUACCAAGGCGACGAUCAGUAGCUGGUCUGAGAGGACGACCAGCCACACUGGGACUGAGACACGGCCCAGACUCCUACGGGAGGCAGCAGUGGGGAAUUUUGGACGAUGGGGGAAACCCUGAUCCAGCCAUGCCGCGUGAGUGAAGAAGGCCUUCGGGUUGUAAAGCUCUUUCAGCCGGAACGAAACGGUCACGGCUAAUACCUGUGAUCACUGACGGUACCGGAAGAAGAAG